rnacentral:rRNA from 1 species
AAAUGACUCUCGGCAACGGAUAUCUCGGCUCUUGCAUCGAUGAAGAACGUAGCGAAAUGCGAUACUUAGUGUGAAUUGCAGAAUCCAGUGCACCAUCGAGUCUUUGAACGCAAGUUGCGCCCGAAGCCAUUAGGCCGAGGGCACGCCUGCCUGGGUGUCACGCAUCGUU